rnacentral:rRNA from 1 species
CACAGAGUUAGCCGGUGCUUCCUUUGAGAGUACCGUCACUUCCCAAGGCUGUUAACCUCAGGAGCAUUCGUUCCCUCCGACAGGGCUUUACGACCCGAAGGCCUUCAUCACCCACGCGGCGUUGCUGCAUCAGGCUUUCGCCCAUUGUGCAAUAUUCCCUA